rnacentral:rRNA from 1 species
GAAGACUACUACGUAUAUAGGCUGGGUGUGUAAGGUCAGUAAUGACCUCAGCUAACCAGUACUAAUAGGUCGUUCGGCUUGACCAUUAAUAAUAAAGCAGU